UACAGAGGGGGCAAGCGUUGAUCGGAAUUACUGGGCGUAAAGGGCGCGUAGGCGGCCCGCUAAGUCGAACGUGAAAUCCCCGAGCUCAACUCGGGAACUGCGUCCGAUACUGGCGGGCUUGAAUCCGGGAGAGGGAUGCGGAAUUCCAGGUGUAGCGGUGAAAUGCGUAGAUAUCUGGAGGAACACCGGUGGCGAAGGCGGCAUCCUGGACCGGCAUUGACGCUGAGGCGCGAAAGCUAGGGGAGCAAACGGG
rnacentral:rRNA from 1 species